rnacentral:rRNA from 1 species
CCAGACUCCUACGGGAGGCAGCAGUGAGGAAUAUUGGUCAAUGGCCGGAAGGCUGAACCAGCCAAGCCGCGUGAAGGACGAAGGUGCCAAGCAUUGUAAACUUCUUUUGUCAAGGGACAAAAUCAGGCUCGAGAGCCUGACCGAGGGUACUUGAAGAAAAAGCAUCGGCUAACUCCGUGCCAGCAGCCGCGGUAAUACGGAGGAUGCGAGCGUUAUCCGGAUUUAUUGGGUUUAAAGGGUGCGUAGGCGGGCUGUUAAGUCAGGGGUCAAAUGGCGGGGCGCAACCCCGGCCUGCCGUUGAAACUGGCGGCCUCGAGUGGGCGAGAAGUAUGCGGAAUGCGUGGUGUAGCGGUGAAAUGCAUAGAUAUCACGCAGAACUCCGAUUGCGAAGGCAGCAUACCGGCGCUCAACUGACGCUCAUGCACGAAAGUGUGGGUAUCGAACAGGAUUAGAUACCCUUGUA